UACCAGCACCCCGAGUGGUCGGGACGAUUAUUGGGCCUAAAGCAUCCGUAGCCGGCCUUACAAGUCCUCCGUUAAAUCCAGCUGCUUAACAGAUGGGCUGCGGAGGAUACUGUAAGACUAGGAGGCAGGAGAGGCAAGCGGUACUCAGUGGGUAGGGGUAAAAUCCGUUGAUCCAUUGAAGACCACCAGUGGCGAAGGCGGCUUGCCAGAAUGCGCUCGACGGUGAGGGAUGAAAGCUGGGGGAGCAAACCGG
rnacentral:rRNA from 1 species